ensembl:lncRNA
GCCAGAUACAGGCUGCCCUACAGACCUUACAUGGGGCCAUGGCUGAGUUCCCACCUAGAUCCCCGGCCAAGAGGUGGGCCAGAUACAGGCUGCCCUACAGACCUUACAUGGGGCCAUGGCUGAGAUCCCACCUAGGUCCCCGGCCAAGAGGUGGGCCAGAUACAGGCUGCCCUACAGACCUUACAUGGGGCCAUGGCUGAGAUCCCACCUAGGUCCCCGGCCCAGAGGUGGGCCAGAUACAGGCUGCCCUACAGACCUUACAUGGGGCCAUGGCUGAGUUCCCACCUAGGUCCCCGGCCAAGAGGUGGGCCAGAUACAGGCUGCCCUACAGACCUUACAUGGGGCCAUGGCUGAGAUCCCACCUAGGUCCCCGGCCAAGAGGUGGGCCAGAUACAGGCUGCCCUACAGACCUUACAUGGGGCCAUGGCUGAGAUCCCACCUAGGUCCCCGGCCAAGAGGUGGGCCAGAUACAGGCUGCCCUACAGACCUUAAAUGGGACCACAAUUAACCAGCUAUACAAAAAUCUAAACGCAACGCGCAAGAAUUUCAAAGAUUUUACUGAGUUACAGUUCAUAUGAGGAAAUCAGUCAAUUUAAAUAAAUUCAUUAGGCCCUAAUCUAUGGAUUUCACAUGAGUGGGAAUACAGAUAUGCAUCUGUUGGUCAGAUACCUUUUAAAAAAGGUAGGGGCGUGGAUCAGAAAACCAGUCAGUAUCUGGUGUCAACAACAUUUACCUCGUAGAGUUGAUCAGGCUGUUGAUUGUGGAAUGUUGUCCCACUCCUCUUCAUUGGCUGUGCAAAGUUGCUGGAUAUUGGGGGGAACUGGAACACGCUGUCGUACAUGUCGAUCCAGAGCAUCCCAAACAUGCUCAAUGGUUGACAUGUCUGGUGAGUAUGUAGGCCAUGGAAGAACUGGGACAGAUCCUUGCGACAUGGAGCUGUGCAUUAUCAUGCUGAAACAUGAGGUGAUGGUGGCGGAUGAAUGGCACUGUUACGUUCCCCAGAUUAUGUGUUGUAGAUUGUGUAUUUGCAUGUGUUUAUUUCAGGAAAUGGCUUCCUGAAAUCCCUCAAGCAGCUGAUUGGUUGACUCCAGGGCUAAUUGGAGAGCUGACCCCGCCCCCUCGUCAAGACACAGCUGUCUCCAAUUACCCAUUCCUUCUGAAGCUAUAUAAAAGCCAGUGUUCUGUUCAGGAGGGAGAUCUUUUUGGAGGUAGAGAUUUUGCUGGAGGUAGGGAUUGCUGAGAUUGAUUGUGAUAGAGGUUGAUUUUGAUAGAGGUUGAUUUUGCUGGAAAGUGGUAUGUUCUGUGAGUUUGUUGCUCAGAUAGAGCUUAUUUGACAUCCUUUUGUUUCUUAGUUUGUUUGAAAUUGUUUAAUAUUCUGUUUCAUUUGUUCCCAGGGGGGAAGGGGAAGGCACCUAGGGAGUGCUUAGGCAAGAGGCCCGCGGGCAUACAUAUACCCAUAGCAUAUUCACUGUCUAGACACACUAGGUAAGACCUGGGCGGACCACCCCUUGUAUUUUGGUUAGGGCACCAGGUGGUGCUAAAUUAUGUAAGUAGUGGGUAGGCAGGUAAGAUAGGAGAGGGGGGGGGCUUUGAGAUUUACUUUCUUUGCUUUGGUUCCGUCCAGCCCCUUUUCCCCAUAUUACCGUGUAAAGGAAUAAAGUCCUUGGAAACGG